rnacentral:rRNA from 1 species
GGCUUAGAGUUUGAUCAUGGCUCAGGAUGAACGCUGGCGACAGGCUUAACACAUGCAAGUCGAGGGGCACCAUGAGGUAGCAGUACCUUGAUGGCGACCGGCCCCCGGGUGAGUAACGCGUAUGCAACCUGCCAUAUACCGGGGUAUAUCCCAUGGAAACGUGGAUUAACUCCCCAUAGUACUUUUAUCCUGCCUGGGAUGGGAGUUAAAUGUUCAAGGUAUGUGAUGGGCAUGCGUCCUAUUAGUUAGUUGGCGGGGUAACAGCCCACCAAGACGAUGAUAGGUAGGGGUUCUGACAGGAAGGUCCCCCACAUUGGAACUGAAACACGGUCCAAACUCCUACGGGAGGCAGCAGUGAGGAAUAUUGGUCAAUGGACGAGAGUCUGAACCAGCCAAGUCGCGGGAGGGAACACUGCCCUAUGGAUUGUAAACCUCCUUUAUAAGGGAAGAAUAAGUUCUACGUGUAAAAUGAUGCCUGUACCUUAUGAAUAACCAUCGGCUAACUCCGUGCCAACGGCCGCGGUAAUACGGAGGAUGCGAGCGUUAUCCGGAUUUAUAGGGUUUAAAGGAUGCCUAAACUGUUUAUUCACUUAGUGGUCAUAUGUGUGAGCUAAAACUCAGUACCGCCAUUAAUACUGGUAAACUGGAGUUCAUACGAGGUAGGCGGAAUAAGUUAAGUAGCGGUGAAAUGCAUAGAUAUAACUUAGAACUCUGAUAGCGAAGGCAUCUUACCAGACUGAAACUGACGCUGAUGCACGAGAGCGUGCGUAGCGAACACGAUUAGAUACCCUGGUAGUUCACGUCGCUAAACGAUGCUCACUGGUUCUGUGCGAUAUAUAGUACGUGGAUGAGCGACAGUAUUAAGUGAGCCA